UACGAGGGGGGCGAGCGUUGUUCGGAAUUAUUGGGCGUAAAGGGUGCGUAGGCGGUGCGGUAAGUCUGUUGUGAAAUCUCCGGGCUCAACUCGGAGUCUGCAUCAGAAACUGCCGUGCUGGAGUGUGGGAGAGGUGAGUGGAAUUCCCGGUGUAGCGGUGAAAUGCGUAGAGAUCGGGGAGGAACACCUGCGGCGAAAGCGGCUCACUGGACCAUAACUGACGCUGAUGCACGAAAGCUAGGGGAGCAAACAGG
rnacentral:rRNA from 1 species